GACGAACGCUGGCGGCGUGCCUAAUACAUGCAAGUAGAACGCUGAAGGAGGAGCUUGCUUCUCUGGAUGAGUUGCGAACGGGUGAGUAACGCGUAGGUAACCUGCCUGGUAGCGGGGGAUAACUAUUGGAAACGAUAGCUAAUACCGCAUAAUAGUAGAUGUCGCAUGACAUUUGCUUAAAAGGUGCAAUUGCAUCACUACCAGAUGGACCUGCGUUGUAUUAGCUAGUUGGUGAGGUAACGGCUCACCAAGGCAACGAUACAUAGCCGACCUGAGAGGGGGAUCGGCCACACUGGGACUGAGACACGGCCCAGACUCCUACGGGAGGCAGCAGUAGGGAAUCUUCGGCAAUAGACGGAAGUCUGACCGAGCAACGCCGCGUGAGUGAAGAAGGUUUUCGGAUCGUAAAGCUCGGUUGUAAGAGAAGAACGAGUGUGAGAGUGGAAAGUUCACACUGUGACGGUAUCUUACCAGAAAGGGACGGCUAACUACGUG
rnacentral:rRNA from 1 species